AUCUCCUGUGGUGCAGUGGGUUGGCGUGUCUAGCUGUUAAUCAGAAGGUCAGUAGUUCAAACCCACCCAGGGAUG